ACACGAAGAACCUUACAGGUUGACAUACGAAGUAGUAGGGAAAGGAACUGGACCGACCCUUCGGGGAGUCUGUACAGGUGCUGCAUGGCUGUCGUCAGCUCGUGUCGCGAGAUGUCGGUUAAGUCCGCUAACGAGCGCAACCCUCGCUGUGUGUUACAAGUGUCACACGGAACUGCCGGUCAUAAACCGGAGGAAGGUGGGAUGACGUCAAGUCAGCAUGGCCUUUAUAUCCUGGGCUACACACACGCUACAAUGGGAAGGGACAAUAGGUUGCGAAGCCGCGAGGCGGAGCCAAUCCAGCAAAACUUCCCUCAGUUCAGAUUGCAGGCUGCAACCCGCCUGCAUGAAGUUGGAGUUGCUAGUAAACGCAGGUCAGCCAUACUGCGUUGAAUACGUUCCCGGGGCUU
rnacentral:rRNA from 1 species